CCCCUCUUAGGAUUGCACCUGGAGAGUUUCCAGUCCUCUACCAGUCUCGGCUAGGGGACAGUCAAGCAGAGGCCUACCCAUUUCAUUCCUAGCUUGGUCAGUGGCUAGUGAGUGGAAGGCAAUCUGCUACAAGU